CCUACGGGAGGCAGCAGUGGGGAAUAUUGGACAAUGGGCGAAAGCCUGAUCCAGCAAUGCCGCGUGAGUGAUGAAGGCCUUCGGGUCGUAAAGCUCUUUUACCAGGGAUGAUAAUGACAGUACCUGGAGAAUAAGCUCCGGCUAACUCCGUGCCAGCAGCCGCGGUAAUACGGAGGGAGCUAGCGUUGUUCGGAAUUACUGGGCGUAAAGAGUACGUAGGCGGUUAUUCAAGUCAGAGGUGAAAGCCCGGGGCUCAACCCCGGAACUGCCUUUGAAACUAGAUAACUAGAGUCUUGGAGAGGUUAGUGGAAUUCCGAGUGUAGAGGUGAAAUUCGUAGAUAUUCGGAAGAACACCAGUGGCGAAGGCGACUAACUGGACAAGUACUGACGCUGAGGUACGAAAGCGUGGGGAGCAAACAGGAUUAGAUACCCUGGUAGUCCACGCCGUAAACGAUGAUAACUAGUUGUUCGGUCACUUGGUGACUGAGUGACGCAGCUAACGCAUUAAGUUAUCCGCCUGGGGAGUACGGUCGCAAGAUUAAAACUCAAAGGAAUUGACGGCUGAGAGNGCGACGACGACGACGAGGGAGAGG
rnacentral:rRNA from 1 species